rnacentral:tRNA from 1 species
GAGCUCGUAGUGUAAUGGUUAACACUGCAGUUUGUGGUACUGUAAAUUCGGGUUCAACUCCCGACGAGCUCCCCA